AACCACGGCACGUGGCCAGGCUGUAACAAAUAGUUCCCGUGGUCGGAUUCGUCUGUGGUUCACACAGUCCCCAUCCCCACUCGCACAUCAGGGAAGAAAAAUCACCCGCACUUUCUCCUCGACGAACUCCAACUAAAAGAAAAUGGAUUGAUCCAAUCGAGUGGAACCUGAGGUCGGCGAAGGAGGAAGGAGAGACGCUGGUCGUACGAACCGCAUGGCGCCCGCGCUCCCAAGGAUCUGGGAGGCGGCCAUGGCGUUGUUGCGGCUGCGGGGGAGGGAGGAGCGAGCAGCGCCGGCGACGGAGGCGAAGGGUGGCGGCAAUGGAGGAUGUGGCGGUGUGGGUAGCUAGGUGCCACUCGGCUCCACCUCCGCCUCGACAUCGAAGACCUCCCCGAGGCGGCGCUGCUUGGCGGCGAUCUGGAGCUCCUCGAUCCGGCGGAGGAUGCAGAACUCUCGUUCUCCUUUGAUCCGACCGCCAAGCCCCAAUCACCACCGCUCCAGCUCGUCUUGGUCUCGGUCUGCGGGCCGGCACAACGCCCUGCGCCAUACCGGCGGCAGCAGCAGGCAACCAAUCUCCGUGCCAGGCCCUCUGGUCAAAGGCUCAAAGCCUUGUCUCUUCGCUUCGCAGCAGCACUUCACAAUCGACAGCAGCAGCAGCGCUGCAGCCAUGCCCGUGCACGCAAGCAGGGUAGCAGGCCACCUUUUGCUUCUCCUGUAUAUCAAUAGAAGGUUCUGAAUUAUGAUUCCUAGAUGUAUUUUUUGCAGACUAAUUUUUUUUUUGCUUUUUAACUUUUUUACUUACACACUGGUAGAAGGAUGUAUAUUAUGGUUUUUGGAUGUAGUUUUUGCAGACUAUUUCUUUUUUUUUUUUUUUUUUUGAAACGGGGCAAGAAGAGCUUGCCUUAUAUUGAUAUAGGAGGAGCAAACAUAGGAUUGGCUGAAGCCAAAAAAUAAAAGAAAAGGGGAAAGACCCCAAGAAAGAGAAAAAAAAAAUCACCCUACAAGCUCCGCCAGGUUUUUUGCACCGGCUAGAAUCCAAUCCUUUCCUUCCUUCCUAAUCUUAUCCAUGAUGACCGAAGGCAAAGAUGAUUUAUUGCUGAAGACUCUUUCAUUCCUUUCUUUCCAAAUCUCCCAAGCGAUAAGCAUGAUGGCUGUCCGUAAACCUUUGGGAGAAGAGGUGGGAGUCUUGGCGAUGGCGUGCCAAUAGUCCAACACCUUAGGUCUUCCCGUUCCCAAGCAGAGGAGAAGGUCUGGACAAGAGAGCCAAGAAGCCGCAGCAGCCCAGAUCCUCUUGGAAAAGCGGCAUUCAAAAAGGAUAUGUCGCGCCGUUUCGGGGGAGCAUCUACACAGCUGACAAGUAGGUUGGUGUGGCCACCCCCGUUUCGCAAGACGGUCGGCGGUCCAGAGGCGGUUCUGAACGGCGAGCCAGGCGAAGAAACGACACUUGGGGGGAGCCCAAGUUUUCCAAACAAUUUUCCUGAAGGGGCAUGGCAGAGAGGCCAGGAACUGGGCCUUGUAGGCGGAGCUGGCCGAGUAACAACCAUUGGGCGACAUGGUCCAGAUUAUGGAGUCCCUUGUGCCAGGGGAUAGUUGUACCCCUGAAAGAAGAUCCCAAAGGCGGACGUAUUGCUCCAGGUGUUCAAUCGUGAAAGAGUCCACAUUAAUAUCUGCAACCCAGGUCUGGCCCUCGAGAGCAUCCCGAACCGUCCGGUUCUUUCUCCUAGAAGCUUUGAAGAUUCUUGCCUAUCAGAAUAUUCACCUCCCUCUUAGUGUAAGGAUGUAAUUAUAUUAAUUUUUCUUUACUCUAGAUGUAAUUUUUGUCAAUUUUCUACAUCCAGAACGUUUUAAUGGAUCAAGUUGUAAAACAGAACGUUUUAAUGUGAUCCCACUUUUCGUGAUCUUGGAUGUAUUUUUUGUACUCCGUACAAUUUUACAUCCAUCGUCGUAUUUUUUACAUGCACAAUUAGAUCACAGAAUAAGUGGUAUGUGUUGUGUUAUUUAUCGGGGAUGUAAAUUUUUAUAAAAGAUAUAGAUGAAGUUUCAUUGUUGUAACA